rnacentral:ncRNA from 1 species
GCUUCGGGGCAGGGUGUGAUUCCCUACCGGCAGUAUAGUCUGCGAGCGGCGUAAGCCGCAGAACGGGUGAGAUUCCCGUACCGACGGUAAAAGUCCGGAUGGAAGAAGC